GCAGCGCUGUGUGCACAGUUUCCCAUCUGUGUCUGGUGGUAGGGUCUGUGUGUGUUUUGCACAUAGACUGUACUGCUCACACAAAACCUGUGGCCAAAGAUGAACCUGAGAUCAUAGUACUGGUUUAGUGAUGUCUGCCCACUGACCAGCCUCCACACUCUCAAACAUCU
ensembl:snoRNA